GGGUUGUGAGGUUAAGCGACUAAGCGUACACGGUGGAUGCCCUGGCAGUCAGAGGCGAUGAAGGACGUGCUAAUCUGCGAUAAGCGUCGGUGAGGUGAUAUGAACCGUUAUAACCGGCGAUUUCCGAAUGGGGAAACCCAGUGUGUUUCGACACACUAUCAUUAACUGAAUCCAUAGGUUAAUGAGGCGAACCGGGGAACUGAAACAUCUAAGUACCCGAGGAAAAGAAAUCAACCGAGAUUCCCCCAGUAGCGGCGAGCGAACGGGGAGGAGCCCAGAGCCAGAAUCAGUGUGUGUGUUAGUGGAAGCGUCUGGAAAGGCGCGCGAUACAGGGUGACAGCCCCGUACACAAAAAUGCACAUACUGUGAGCUCGAUGAGUAGGGCGGGACACGUGGUAUCCUGUCUGAAUAUGGGGGGACCAUCCUCCAAGGCUAAAUACUCCUGACUGACCGAUAGUGAACCAGUACCGUGAGGGAAAGGCGAAAAGAACCCCGGCGAGGGGAGUGAAAAAGAACCUGAAACCGUGUACGUACAAGCAGUGGGAGCCUCUUAAUGGGGUGACUGCGUACCUUUUGUAUAAUGGGUCAGCGACUUAUAUUCUGUAGCAAGGUUAACCGAAUAGGGGAGCCGAAGGGAAACCGAGUCUUAACUGGGCGUUAAGUUGCAGGGUAUAGACCCGAAACCCGGUGAUCUAGCCAUGGGCAGGUUGAAGGUUGGGUAACACUAACUGGAGGACCGAACCGACUAAUGUUGAAAAAUUAGCGGAUGACUUGUGGCUGGGGGUGAAAGGCCAAUCAAACCGGGAGAUAGCUGGUUCUCCCCGAAAGCUAUUUAGGUAGCGCCUCGUGAAUUCAUCUCCGGGGGUAGAGCACUGUUUCGGCAAGGGGGUCAUCCCGACUUACCAACCCGAUGCAAACUGCGAAUACCGGAGAAUGUUAUCACGGGAGACACACGGCGGGUGCUAACGUCCGUCGUGAAGAGGGAAACAACCCAGACCGCCAGCUAAGGUCCCAAAGUCAUGGUUAAGUGGGAAACGAUGUGGGAAGGCCCAGACAGCCAGGAUGUUGGCUUAGAAGCAGCCAUCAUUUAAAGAAAGCGUAAUAGCUCACUGGUCGAGUCGGCCUGCGCGGAAGAUGUAACGGGGCUAAACCAUGCACCGAAGCUGCGGCAGCGACACUAUGUGUUGUUGGGUAGGGGAGCGUUCUGUAAGCCUGUGAAGGUGGCCUGUGAGGGUUGCUGGAGGUAUCAGAAGUGCGAAUGCUGACAUAAGUAACGAUAAAGCGGGUGAAAAGCCCGCUCGCCGGAAGACCAAGGGUUCCUGUCCAACGUUAAUCGGGGCAGGGUGAGUCGACCCCUAAGGCGAGGCCGAAAGGCGUAGUCGAUGGGAAACAGGUUAAUAUUCCUGUACUUGGUGUUACUGCGAAGGGGGACGGAGAAGGCUAUGUUGGCCGGGCGACGGUUGUCCCGGUUUAAGCGUGUAGGCUGGUUUUCCAGGCAAAUCCGGAAAACCAAGGCUGAGGCGUGAUGACGAGGCACUACGGUGCUGAAGCGACAAAUGCCCUGCUUCCAGGAAAAGCCUCUAAGCAUCAGGUAACAUCAAAUCGUACCCCAAACCGACACAGGUGGUCAGGUAGAGAAUACCAAGGCGCUUGAGAGAACUCGGGUGAAGGAACUAGGCAAAAUGGUGCCGUAACUUCGGGAGAAGGCACGCUGAUAUGUAGGUGAAGCGACUUGCUCGUGGAGCUGAAAUCAGUCGAAGAUACCAGCUGGCUGCAACUGUUUAUUAAAAACACAGCACUGUGCAAACACGAAAGUGGACGUAUACGGUGUGACGCCUGCCCGGUGCCGGAAGGUUAAUUGAUGGGGUUAGCGGCAACGCGAAGCUCUUGAUCGAAGCCCCGGUAAACGGCGGCCGUAACUAUAACGGUCCUAAGGUAGCGAAAUUCCUUGUCGGGUAAGUUCCGACCUGCACGAAUGGCGUAAUGAUGGCCAGGCUGUCUCCACCCGAGACUCAGUGAAAUUGAACUCGCUGUGAAGAUGCAGUGUACCCGCGGCAAGACGGAAAGACCCCGUGAACCUUUACUAUAGCUUGACACUGAACAUUGAGCCUUGAUGUGUAGGAUAGGUGGGAGGCUUUGAAGUGUGGACGCCAGUCUGCAUGGAGCCGACCUUGAAAUACCACCCUUUAAUGUUUGAUGUUCUAACGUUGGCCCGUAAUCCGGGUUGCGGACAGUGUCUGGUGGGUAGUUUGACUGGGGCGGUCUCCUCCUAAAGAGUAACGGAGGAGCACGAAGGUUGGCUAAUCCUGGUCGGACAUCAGGAGGUUAGUGCAAUGGCAUAAGCCAGCUUGACUGCGAGCGUGACGGCGCGAGCAGGUGCGAAAGCAGGUCAUAGUGAUCCGGUGGUUCUGAAUGGAAGGGCCAUCGCUCAACGGAUAAAAGGUACUCCGGGGAUAACAGGCUGAUACCGCCCAAGAGUUCAUAUCGACGGCGGUGUUUGGCACCUCGAUGUCGGCUCAUCACAUCCUGGGGCUGAAGUAGGUCCCAAGGGUAUGGCUGUUCGCCAUUUAAAGUGGUACGCGAGCUGGGUUUAGAACGUCGUGAGACAGUUCGGUCCCUAUCUGCCGUGGGCGCUGGAGAACUGAGGGGGGCUGCUCCUAGUACGAGAGGACCGGAGUGGACGCAUCACUGGUGUUCGGGUUGUCAUGCCAAUGGCACUGCCCGGUAGCUAAAUGCGGAAGAGAUAAGUGCUGAAAGCAUCUAAGCACGAAACUUGCCCCGAGAUGAGUUCUCCCUGACCCUUUAAGGGUCCUGAAGGAACGUUGAAGACGACGACGUUGAUAGGCCGGGUGUGUAAGCGCAGCGAUGCGUUGAGCUAACCGGUACUAAUGAACCGUGAGGCUUAACCUUACAACGCCGAAG
rnacentral:rRNA from 1 species